AGCAGCCGCGGUAAUUCCAGCUCCAAUAGCGUAUAUUAAAGUUGUUGCAGUUAAAAAGCUCGUAGUUGAAUUUCGGGGUNAGUAGGUUGGUCAUGCCUCUGGUAUGUACUGGUCUCACUGAUUCCUCCUUCCUGAUGANCCGUAAUGCCAUUAAUUUGGUGUUGCGGGGAAUUUGGACUGUUACUUUGAAAAAAUUAGAGUGUUUAAAGCANGCUAACGCUUGAAUACAUUAGCAUGGAAUAAUGAAAUAGGACGUUCGAUCCUAUUUUGUUGGUUUCUAGGAUUGACGUAAUGAUUAAUAGGGAUAGUUGGGGGCAUUAGUAUUCAAUUGUCAGAGGUGAAAUUCUUGGAUUUAUUGAAGACUAACUACUGCGAAAGCAUUUGCCAAGGAUGUUUUCAUUAAUCAAGAACGAAAGUUAGGGGAUCGAAGACGAUCAGAUACCGUCGUAGUCUUAACCAUAAACUAUGCCGACUAGGGAUCGGAUGAUGUUAAUUUUUUAAUGACUCA
rnacentral:rRNA from 1 species